UUGCCGUUGAGUUGGUGAGUGUGGUUCGGGAGCCGAGCUAGCUCGAAUAAAGACUCUUUGCUUUUGCAUCAGACUUGGCUGGCUCCCUGGUGGGCUUUUGGGGAUCUUGAAAUCUGGGCAUAACAUUUGGGGGCUUGCCAGGAUCCCCAAGACCCUCGAGGGACCCCCGAUCCGGAGUGUCUGACUGGCCACGAUGUGCAGGGUGGAGCCCAAGACUGAUCAUUUACCCCCCAAAAAAUAAAGAGAUGCUAGCUAGAUUCUAGCAGAAGGAUUGGCGUUUCCAUAAUAAAGAACAGUUUUUAAAUGCUAAAGAAGAAUGUUAAGGCUGGCUUCCCAAGGUCAAUUGUGGUCAAUUUACAUCUGAAAAGACCAGGUAGGCCAGAACCUGUUUUGCAAGGCUCAAAUGUGGUUUUCCAGAGCCGCUUGAAAGUAAAAAGUAAAGUUUACUCUAAUUUGCCUCAUGAAAAAUCUAAAGAACAGAAUUAAAUCUAUUGGUUGAAUAUUGAGAAAUGCUGAAUAUUUAACUUGCCAGCUAAAAGUUUAAGGUUCUGAUUGAAUUGGGAAAAAUUAUAUAAUUGUAAUAACUAAAUGCCUUUGCUUAUUGGUCUGAUUGAAAAGGGAGGAUUAAUUUUGUGAUCUCAACUGAAGAUUUUUGCUUUAAAAUGAUUAUAAAAGGUAUAAACAGCUAAUAAGAUUUCUGUUUGUCUACAAUAGAGCCACAUGACUUGCCGCUCCCCUGGGAGCUGCCAUCUUGAAACAGCAAAGGCGCCUCCCUCAGGUUUAGUCAGGGGUGGAGCUUUAAGGGGGAGUUUUGCUGCAAAAAUGUGAAUGGGGCCAAAACCCGUUUGGCUCAGUGGAUAGAGUAGCAUCGGCCUGUGGACUCAAGGGUCCCGGGUUCGAUUCCGGUCAAGGGCAUGUACCUUGGUUGCAGGCACGUCCCCACUGGG